AAACCCAAAGCUUUUUUUCCCAUAAAAACUGACCAAAAAAUAUAAAACAUUUAUUAAUAAAAAAAAUAAAAAGAAAUAAAUUGGGUCUGAACCCUUCUUUCUCUUUCAUAAAAAAACCCUAAUAAUAUUCUCGCCUCUUCCUCUGCCUCUCUUCCUCUCGCCUCUGCAAUCUCUUCCUCUCGCCUCUUCUUCCUUUCUCUUGGCAGAUGUUGCUGCCCAACUUCCUCUGGCGACAAGCGCCUGAGACUUUGCGGAUUUAGGGCGUAGAGGAUGGAUUACAGGCACAAAUAAUGGUUACAGCAUAUAAUUUAAUUGGAAAAAGUUGUGAGCUCCUCCUUUGUAAUACAAAUCCAAUGGUACCUUCCAUAAUGGAAAGAGGAGCGCCUUUUUGUGACCAAAUUUUUUAAACAAUUUAUGGAUGUUUAAUGUAAUUUUUUGUAACAAUCAAGUAUUCUCCUCAAACUCCAUUCUUUUUCCUAGCUCCUGGAUUCGUUGGGGGAUGGUGGAGUCCAUAUUUGUUCACAGCUACAAUAGCCUCAACAAAAUAUUUCUUUAAUCAUGUUUUAAGGAAAAAUACUUUAACAAAAGCUUGCAGAAACAUCUCUCGCCAUUAUGAUCGAUAGCUUCUCCUUUGUCCAAUCGCUCAAGGUCUCCCUUCGUGUCCCUCGCCUCCCUCAGUAUAUUUUUUUUCGAGCUAUAAAUCUCUCCCUCUGUCUUUGAUUUUUUCAGGAGGACUAUGUUUGAAGGUCGUCGUGGAUCUCGCUAUUCAAAGUCGUCUGUGGUUUACGGUGGCAGAGUUCAUUGAUCUCGUCUUUCGAAUGCUGACAGCUCUAGGUUCUUGGUCUAAGGUGGCGGGUUUCGUGGAUCUCAACAUUCGAACGCUGGUGAUUUUAGGCUCAUCGUCUAUGGUGGCUGUAGGGUUCUGCUUGUAAUUUCUUUUUUCAAAUUUCAAUUUUAUUUCUGGAUGUGUUCAUAGCUAUUUUUUACUUUGUUUUUAAUUAUCCUAAAUUUUUAGUGUUGUAUUGAACAAUACUUGUUAUAUUGAUUUAAAAUAAUAUUUUUUUUUUGUUCAA